rnacentral:misc_RNA from 1 species
GAUGAAGAACGUAGCGAAAUGCGAUAAGUAAUGUGAAUUGCAGAAUUCAGUGAAUCAUCGAAUCUUUGAACGCACAUUGCGCCCGCCAGCAUUCUGGCGGGCAUGCCUGUUCGAGCGUCAUUUCAACCCUCGAGCCCCCCCGGGGGCCUCGGUGUUGGGGGACGGCACACCAGCCGCCCCCGAAAUGCAGUGGCGACCCCGCCGCAGCCUCCCCUGCGUAGUAGCACACACCUCGCACCGGAGCGCGGAGGCGGUCACGCCGUAAAACGCCCAACUUUCUUAGAGUUGACCUCGGAUCAGGUAGGAAUACCCGCUGAACUUAAGAAUAUCAAUAAGCGGAGGA